CCUACGGGAGGCAGCAGUGAGGAAUAUUGGUCAAUGGACGAGAGUCUGAACCAGCCAAGUAGCGUGAAGGAUGACUGCCCUAUGGGUUGUAAACUUCUUUUAUAUGGGAAUAAAACAGGGUAUGCAUACCCUCUUGUAUGUACCAUAUGAAUAAGGAUCGACUAACUCCGUGCCAGCAGCCGCGGUAAUACGGAGGAUCCGAGCGUUAUCCGGAUUUAUUGGGUUUAAAGGGAGCGUAGGUGGAUUGUUAAGUCAGUUGUGAAAGUUUGCGGCUCAACCGUAAAAUUGCAGUUGAAACUGGCAGUCGUGAGUACAGUAGAGGUGGGCGGAAUUCGUGGUGUAGCGGUGAAAUGCUUAGAUAUCACGAAGAACUCCGAUUGCGAAGGCAGCUCACUGGACUGCAACUGACACUGAUGCUCGAAAGUGUGGGUAUCAAACAGGAUUAGAUACCCCGGUAGUC
rnacentral:rRNA from 1 species